UUUCCGUAGGUGAACCUGCGGAAGGAUCAUUAUUGGAUUUUGAAACUUCAGGCUGCUGCUGGCUCUCCUCGGAGGGCAUGUGCACGCUUGUUGUCCAUUAUUUCUCCCACUGUGCACAAAUUUAGACCUUUCAGUAGGCCUAUGUUGUUUUUCACAAUCUCUGAAUGUAAUAGAAUGGUUUUGAAUCUUGGGAAAUACAAUACAACUUUCAGCAACGGAUCUCUUGGCUCUC
rnacentral:misc_RNA from 1 species